rnacentral:piRNA from 1 species
UUUGGCAUUGUGGAAGGACUCAU